AGUUGGUGUGCAUGAUGGGUUUGAUGGAGCCGGUGAUAAUUGUCUAUUUCAUCAAGAAGUCUCAAUGAUUCAUAGUGAACAUGUUCCUAAUUUAGAUACUUCUUUAGAUGAUGUGGUGUUGGAAUUGAUAAAAUGGGUAGUUUCUGCAAUUCUGUCUCCAAAACCCCUACUCUAGAUGACAUUAGCGAGACCCAGAUUGUUGCGAUUGAAAACAGUUACUAUUCUAACAAUGUCACUCCUGAACAACAACCAAGACUCAGAAAGACUGGAAAAUACAAAUCAUCUAUGUAUGUUGGUUUUAGUUCAGCUGGCAGCAGCUUGGGUAAAUCACCUAUAUAUUUCAACAUAAACAUCCUUUUGCAAAUUACAAUGGAUUCAAAGUUGAUGAUGCACUGCUCAAUGAAUUUACAUCUUGGGUAUAUGCUAAAGUCUCUAAACGGAAGAACGGAAUUUCAGCAUACACUUUAAAGAACAACAAGAUUGUCAAUCCUUAUGAUUUGGGAGUUAAGAAAGUUGACAAAAUGGAGUGGUUCUACAAUGUCAUUCAAACUGGGAAAGCGUGGGAAGACUCGGUAUGUUGUCUCCAAAUUUCUGAUUUGCUUAUUUCAUUUUUUAUUUGUUGUAUGAAAAAUACUUUCAAGCUGAAUUUUUGGGUGUUGCAAGAAUGGUAGUUUAUGUUGAGAUGGCAUUAGGAUAUGUGUGUGGCCAUUGUUAGCACAAAUGUUAUGUGGAUUAUAUGAUUUUGACGUUUAUAUGUAUGAAAUUUGUGUGGAAUGUUGUUUUGAGAUAUCCAUAUGUGUAUGAAAUGUGCAUAUAUCAGUAUGCAUAUUAUAAAAACUGAUAUAUGACUGUUAAACUGAAUACUUAAUAACAGAAAUUCUUUACCAUUCUUACUUAUAUUUUAAUUGACAUUCUUUUUUUAGCAUAUUGAUGUCAUUAUGUAUUACUUGAGGAAAAAGGCAAAGUAUGGUCCAAAUAACCCAGUGAGAUACACAAAAACAGAUUGUUUUUUCAUAAAGUGGGUUGAGGCUAUCCACAAGCAGUACAAGGAAUACAAAAAUGAUAAGCGUUUUAUUACUGCUGAUCAUAAUGUGGCAAAAAUUAUUCGUGGGUUUAAAUUGAUUGCAAAUAUUGCUUGGGAUAGAGUUGAUAAUAUGCUCAUCCCAGUCAAUAUAAGCGAAGAAUACCAUUGGGUGUUAGUUGUUUUAUGUAUGAAAAGAAGGUGUCUCUACGUAUAUGAUUCAUUCCCAGGUGGGGCUAUGCAUACUAAUUCAAUUCGAGAAGUUGUUAAAAGGCUGGCCACCAUGAUACCUCUCUUUUUUAAUUGCACUGGAUUUUAUGGGAAAAGGAAUGACAUAAACUGGAUAACUGAACCAACAUAUGUUGGGAAGAGCUUUGAUGAUUCUUUGGAAUAUGUCUUUGUGGAUCAUUUGCCAGAACAACAUCCAAA